AUCCCAGUUUUAAUUGCUAAAUUCGCAAUCCGCCGCCUCCUUUCUUCCCUCUCAAACUCCAGUCCCACCGGCGGCGACCUGCCGCGCCGCAGCGAUCUCCCGGUGGUAUGUCCAGCGGAGGCGACGCCGACGGCGCCAAGAUUAAUAGCGGCGGCGAUGAAUGGAGGGCCGGGGCGGAGUUCUCGAUGCCCCUCUCCGUGCUGGACGCUUGACCCCAAUUCCGCAAAGGUGCGCGGGAGGAGACAGCAGGGAGAUGAUAUCUCCCAUUCUGGUCAUGAUGCUUGCAUAUUCACUUGUUAGAAUUGAUGCCUUAUGAUAAGAAUGACCAAUAAUAUUGGACCUUUUUGGUUGGCCUUUUUACUGAAGCCAAAAAUCAGGCUGCUGCAGAUAGAAUUGAUGCCUGGGAAACUGUGGUAAUUGUGAUUCUUUAGAAUAUUUGGUUUCCGGUCAAAACAUUGUAUACACUACUUAACUCUAGCUUAGUUACUCGACACGUGCUCCAUACCAAACCUCUAAGUCCAAGUCCAACCAGCCAAACAAAUCUGAGAACAUAGUGUCUAUCAAGAUCAAGAUCAAUGCCAAUCAACCAGUAAUUGUUAGGUUCAGACAUAAAACUGUAACCACUACUAGAUAGGAUGCUCAGAUGAUGCUGGAUUUUAUGCAAUUUAGGCUUGAUUAAAUUAAAAGAGGCAUGCUUUCUGUAAACUCUGUAAGCUCAAGUCCAAUCAAGUGUUUUCCUGGUACUAACUGUAACUGUUCUCUCAUUCAAGGGUUAGGUAUAUAACAGUACUAGAACAGUGUCAAUCUUAAUGUAGCAUGCUCCAUUUGCUUCGUAUCAGACAGUAGCUGUCUCCAAACAUGGUUAGGAAAAGUUAGCAUCUGACUCCAUAAUGCAUGCAGGUCUUUCUUUGUACAGAUAUGGCAUCAGCUGGCUCCCAUCAAUUUAGGCCUUGGUCAGUGUAAAAGGUGCCUCAUGUAUACUUGCUUGUGAAGUUUUUUUUUUGAAAGAAAACUGUAGGAGAGGCUCCGGCAGUGAUUAUAUUAAACAAAAAAUAUGUACAAAAUAUACUAAAUAGGGGAAAAGGAACCCCAGGAACACAAGAGGGCACAGGACACAGCAGCUUGCUUGUUAAGUUCGUAAAAAUAUCGUCUUCUAUAGCUCUCUUUCACAGUCUUGAAUUCUCGCAAGGAAACCUCACCUCAGCUGCAGUGAUUUUGACUUCUGGUUUCAAUCUGUUGUCUGCUGCAUACAAAAGUCCAAGAAAACAAAAUUGAUUUUUGUGAUGUCUCCUCUUCCUUUGCCAAGCAUUAUAUAUAAUGUUAUAGGAUUGUGGAAGUGCACCACAGUUCAGUUCUCAAACAAAUUAAGACGAGGACAGGGGGCUCCUGUUCUUCUUCUUCUUCCUACACAUACACUGCACCCUCGCUCAAUUAGCUUGACAGCAGUACUAAUUACGUCAAUUAAGAACUAGCAAAGACGAUGAGCCAGACCAAGACCGCCAAGAGCAGCAUGGAAGCGUCGUCUGAGGGUUCGCCGGCAAGCUCAUGCGUGUCGUCGGAUGCAGCAGAGGAGGAGGAUCAGAAGCCGAUGAUGGUGGUAGCUGGGUGCCCCCGGUGCCUCAUGUACGUGAUGCUCUCGGAUUCAGAGUCGGAGGAUCAAGAGAAGGAGAAGAAGAAGCAGAAGCCCAAGUGCCCCAGAUGCAAGAGCCCCGUGCUGAUGCACUUCCACGAGUACCACUGUGACACCAAGAACAAGAUCUGACUGCCAACAAGACACUGUAUAGUAUUAUUAAGAAUAGAAAGGUUCGGUAGUCAGAAAGAUCUGACUGCCAAGAACAAGGUCUCAUCUCUCGCUGGUCAUCGAACCACACCGUUCGAUCAUUAGCAUGAACUAGUAUGAUGUACUACUAGAUAUGAAAGUAGUAACUGGAGGACUUGAUAGAAUUCCAUGUGUAUCCUACUCCCUACUUACUUAGUAGCUUGUGAUUGUAAGAUAUAUACACAUAAUUACAUACUGUGCCUUCAUCUUCAUCUAACCAUGUUGCUCUCUCUUUUUUCUUU